CCCUUAGAUGUUCUGGGCCGCACGCGCGCUACACUGACGAAUGCAACGAGCUUAUAACCUUGGCCGAAAGGUCUGGGUAAUCUCCAAAUUUCGUCGUGAUGGGGAUAGAUUAUUGCAAUUAUUAAUCUUCAACGAGGAAUGCCUAGUAAGCGCAAGUCAUCAGCUUGCGUUGAUUACGUCCCUGCCCUUUGUACACACCGCCCGUCGCUCCUACCGAUUGGAUGGUCCGGUGAAGCGUUCGGACCGUGGCCUUUGGACGGUUCGCCGUCUGUUGGCUGCGGGAAGUUCGUUAAACCUUAUCAUUUAGAGGAAGGAGAANUCGUAACA
rnacentral:rRNA from 1 species